rnacentral:rRNA from 1 species
UACGUAGGGGGGCAAGCGUUUGUCCGGAAUCAUUGGGCGUAAAGAGCGUGUAGGCGGCUCGGUAAGUCCGCUGUGAAAGUCCAGGGCUCAACCCUGGAAUGCCGGUGGAAACUGUCGGGCUAGAGUCCGGAAGAGGCGAGUGGAAUUCCUGGUGUAGCGGUGAAAUGCGCAGAUAUCAGGAGGAACACCAAUGGCGAAGGCAGCUCGCUGGGACGGUACUGACGCUGGAGGAGCGAAAGCAUGGGGAGCGAACAGG